CAGUCGACAGCCAUUCGGGACUCAAAAAGAAUCCCUGAGGUCUCGUACAGCUUACCUCCUCAUGUACAGGAAAGUGAGAAAAGAACUGGAACAAGAUGAUGGAAGAGACCAGGACGCUCAUAGUGCACAUUCAGAUAUAGAAGCUGAAAGAAGUCAGGACACCGGCAAA